rnacentral:rRNA from 1 species
GCGAACGGGUGAGUAACACGUGGGCAAUCUGCCCUUCACUCUGGGACAAGCCCUGGAAACGGGGUCUAAUACCGGAUAACACCGGCUUCCGCAUGGGGGCUGGUUAAAAGCUCCGGCGGUGAAGGAUGAGCCCGCGGCCUAUCAGCUUGUUGGUGGGGUAAUGGCCUACCAAGGCGACGACGGGUAGCCGGCCUGAGAGGGCGACCGGCCACACUGGGACUGAGACACGGCCCAGACUCCUACGGGAGGCAGCAGUGGGGAAUAUUGCACAAUGGGCGAAAGCCUGAUGCAGCGACGCCGCGUGAGGGAUGACGGCCUUCGGGUUGUAAACCUCUUUCAGCAGGGAAGAAGCGAAAGUGACGGUACCUGCAGAAGAAGCGCCGGCUAACUACGUGCCAGCAGCCGCGGUAAUACGUAGGGCGCAAGCGUUGUCCGGAAUUAUUGGGCGUAAAGAGCUCGUAGGCGGCUUGUCACGUCGGGUGUGAAAGCCCGGGGCUUAACCCCGGGUCUGCAUCCGAUACGGGCAGGCUAGAGUGUGGUAGGGGAGAUCGGAAUUCCUGGUGUAGCGGUGAAAUGCGCAGAUAUCAGGAGGAACACCGGUGGCGAAGGCGGAUCUCUGGGCCAUUACUGACGCUGAGGAGCGAAAGCGUGGGGAGCGAACAGGAUUAGAUACCCUGGUAGUCCA